rnacentral:lncRNA from 1 species
AGAAGUUGGGUCAUUUUACUGUCAAGCCGUCAAGGGGUUCUCUUUGGACUUGACUCUGCUGCGAUUUGCCGCCAACACGCGAGUGAAGCCGUACCCCAAAAUGACAGUUAACCAAGAAUAGAAGCUGGAGAAUAUUACAUCGAUAUCGGUGAACAGAAAGAAAGCUACCGGUAAGGUGAUCAAGGACUUUCCGCUCGUUUGCCACAUCUCUUCAACAGGGCCCGAGAUAGAAAAAUAAACAGCUUGGUGCCAAGGGUAAAAGAUUCGAGUGAUGAUCAGUCGCACCGACGAAGAUAAUCGGACGUUCAGCCAGAUGGAGGCUACCUGCUAACUUGUGAACCGCACCUGUGCAACCACUGCCGACAAAUAUUACGGCGUCAUCUUCGGAAGCUCCAACUGCGUGUCUUAGGAUUUCUCUAGCCUCAUCCCGGAAGAGUGUCGUUUUUACCGAAGUAAUGGAAGUCGUCGUGUAUCUAUUAACCUACCUUCGAAUUUCCAUUUGGCGCCCUGCCCGGAUACAUUUCUACCAAGUACGCCGCACGACGACGAGGAGGAAGCAUACCUUCAUCUACACAAAAAUGGAUCGACAACUGUUGCAUUCUAAAGAAACGAAAUGUUUGAUGAAACAAAAUGACAAUUUAGAAUAUUCGUGCUCAGACAGAUUUCAAACUAAAAUUAUACAAAGUUGAGUAUUGGCGAAUUUAAUUGAAAUUAUAUAAACAAGAGAAUUGAUACAAAUUCCGUACCUGACAAGCGUAGAAUCCGACGAUGCUUAUGGAGCAGCAGAACACGUGCAGUUGAAGAUGGUUGUACGAAUGUGAAACCGUGUGGCUGGCUACCGCCUUAAAUACACGCAGACACGUGCCACAUCCUGGCUUUCCCGGAAGAAAAGUGUAGGGUAGAGGAACAUAAUUCCAAAGAUCGAUAGGUUGAAGGGCAAAUUUUUUUAUUUCCAAUUGAGCUCGGGGAUACGGCCAUUCCCCCACGAUUGAUCCAAUGUCUUACAGUGGACCUAGAAAAGGUGAAUAACCUCGGGCAAUUCACACAAAAAAUAGAAUCUAAACCACGUUUUACAUCCUCAAGUUCAGUAGCUCGUUCACAUGCACGACAUGCACUUGUGUAUAUUUGUCGCUUCUUAUUCCGGUGUAGUGAUUCACACAAUUUUGUUCGCACUGAAUAUAGUUUUCGUUUACAAGCUGGAUAUAUUUUGCAAUUUGUAGAAUCGCCAAUCACUUACUAGAAACGCACUGCAUCAGCACUUGGUUUUGCCUCUGCACUAGUUUUGUUUGGUUGCAUAAGCUAAGACCGCGGCUAAGACGUAUUUUACUGGGUAGAAUAAGUCUAGAUGAAAUAGAAAAACCUAGAUUAAGUUAAGGAUAAGUAAGUCUAAGUUUAAAUUAAGAACAGUGCUACUUCAAGGAAGCCGUAAUGCACCUGACUCGUUAUUUUUGCACAGCAGUACAUCGGCCAUUUCCCUUCACUCUUAAAUGCUUUGUUUUACCUGUAGUCUUCGUUCGCAAACCAUUUCCAUGCAAUUCUAUGUUUCUAUACUUUCACGCAAUUUGCCAAUUGUCAAUCCCAAGAACCUCCCGACUGUUAACUAACAAAUCUAUUUUUGUUUUCAGGGACGUUGAAAUUAAAUGUAAUUGUAAUUUCUGAACAGGCUGUUUAUUACAAUAAUUUAAACGCUAUUUUUUCCCCUUCUCUUUUCUGCUCUAUCAGGAGGCAGCCAAAGAGGAUACUGAACAUCGUGGAUCGUCGCUGAAGGAACUGGAUCAACGCCAAGGAUAUGCCAGGUAUUUAUCUUAAAAAUUGAAGUAUCUAAACAUGUUUGUGUUUUAUGUAUUUAGGAGGAUCUACAUCACCACUUAUGGAGACCGCUGGACGUUAAGGAUCGCUGUCGGGGUCACCAGAAUCAUCGCCAAUAACUUGAAGAUAGGCCCACGACACCAACGAGGAUCAUUGGCGGGGUUACCAGAAUUAUCGCCAAGGAUUGUAAGGGAUUAAUUUUAAAAUUUAAAUGUCUAAUCAGGUUUUUUUUUUUGUUUAUAAGGGUUCACAACACCUCCGAGGGAGACUGCUGGACGCCGAGGAUCGCCGUCAGGGCCACCAGAAUUAUCGUUAAGGAUUUAAAGCUAUUAAUUUUAAAAUUUCUAAUUGUGCUUAUCUAGGAAAAAAAGAGACUGUCUUGCUAACAAGGACUUCAUCUGCACUCAGAUCAUUCUGAAGCAGACCAGUGUCAAUUUUUUGGAGAAAGACAUGCACAGUCUUAAAUUGAAAUUUUUCAAGUUGGCAUAAUUUUUUAUUGUUCCAUUCGGCCUAUUAAGCGUGGAAAAUCGGGAAGGAAAUGCUAGUUAAUUACUCGUCGUUAUACAGAAUCGUGAUUGGUGUUGACCAACACGAGGGAUCCUAUCUUUAAAUUGGCAAACAUGAUUGAGCCAUGUAUAACACAACAGUGAUGAAAGAGAAUGAAUCAGACAGACGCACGACGAUGCUAAAUGCCAUCCUUUACCUUUUGCUGAGUCUCUUUGAUAACAAACAAUACGAUCUCACUCACCGACUUUCUGCAGGAGAAGGUUGCCGAUGAAAUUCCCAAUACAAGGAACUUCUGCGAUUGUUUGUCAUUGCCGAGCAAAUCAACUGGGGCAAGCUGUGCCAACAGUACCAACUAGUACUUCGAGCGGGAGACAACUCGACGCCAGCAACGGGAGUCUUUACCAUUGGCUUAUUCACUAAAUCACAUCUGUGGUUGAGAAAAAAUAGAUAAGCCAUUUAUUAUUUUAUAGGUACUGAAAAAGGUGAAGAAAGCUGAAAGGUGUGGUUUUGAUUAUAAUAUUCUCAUCAUGGCCAAAUAUUACACCCGUGUGAUGAUGCAAAGGAUGGCUGCUCUCCUAAUAAACUGUAACAUUGUCCGACGGGGCCAACCCAGUCUGUAAAAAAAAACUAACCCGAUUUUUCAAACACUUUUUAGAAGAUUGGUGUGGCGGCUCGAUCUCGGAUGUUCUAGUGAUACCGAUUCAAAGGUUAAAGAGAAAGUUUUUGUAUUUUUAGAUAUUUGUCCGCGUUUCGC